CUUUUUGUCUUUGAUAUUAAGUUUAUUAUGGUAUUUCCUGUAGUUAUUUAUGUUGGCUAUCGAGACGGAGAUUACGAAAGUGUUUUUUGGGCUGUUAUCUUAAACCAGUCUCUUUCAGUUUUCAAAAAAAAAAAAAAUACCCAUCUUCACUUCCAUCCCUCUUCACAAGCUCUUAGCACUCAGAUGUGAAUUCACGAGGGAUGACGUAUCAGCACCAAUUUAAAUGGCAACAUCAUAUGUACUCAAAAUUGUUUUUGAUAAUAGGCCAAAUGUAUCUGCUUGACUUAAUCUUCCCUUAGUAUAAGUUAUUUCUCAGGAGGCUGUCAUUAAAAUUUGAAUAUUAUGUACAUUGAAAUAAAUAGCAUUUGAAGCCACAAUGGAGUUUUGAGGAGAGGGUAUAUAGUGAAGAUUUGGUAUAAGGGCCCUCUAUCCACUCCCUUUGGUCCCGCAUGAGAGGACAGUGUGUGUGUGUGGGCUGAGUUGUUGGAUGUUUUUGCAGGUGGAGAACAAUGGUUUUGUUACCAACUAUAUGCCAGUUCUGGAACUGGCAUGGCAUCAGUCCCCCUGUAACUAGCCUGUUAGAGGACCAGCAGCUUCCACCAUGGUCUCUUGAAGUCCUGAUCUGUCAGAACCUCCAGAAAGGAACACAUGCUUGCUGACUUCUUGAUUCGGCCUUGUAAGACUAAGCAGAGACUCACCUGAGCUCGCUGGACUUCUGACCUGUGGUGACUACAAGAUAAGUGUUUUAGGCCACUAAGUUUAUGAUAAUUUGAUUUGGCAGUAUUAGAAAACUAAUGUACUCUGAGUGAAACUGGGAGGAAUUAGAUACUUUUUAGAGGAGUAUCAUGAUAGGACUUGUGUCCUUUUUACUAAUUAUGUAAAUUUCUGUGCUCUCUUGACAAAAGUGGUUUUUACAAUUAAUCUCUCACUAAGGAUAAUCACCUUUUGACUUUGGUAGUUGAAAGCUGAGUAAUUUAUAUCCUUGAUAUCAGACACUAUUUGGACAGUUUGAAAAGCCUUUUACAUUUUCUGAAUUUCAGCAUUAAUAUAUGUUUCUUUACCAGGAAAUCCAGAUUAAUAUGGUCUGGAACAAUUAAAUGAAUUUAAAGUUAUUUCACUCAUUUAGGGGAAAAUGAUGCCUAUUAUCUGUAGCAAAGACCAUGCUGAAUUAUCUCUGAAAAUAAUCUUAAUCCUCUACUUUCCCUUUUCCCCCGCCUUUUGCAUUUUUUUUCUUCCCACAAAAUAAGUCCUUGAUAAAACCAAAGUUACUAAAGAUUAAGCGAGGAAUUAAAAGAUACCAAGAUUGUCUUUAAGCUCCUGUCUCAAUGUUUCUUAAAAUUUGAAUAUAUUUUCCACAGCAUUGCGUUUUGUCUGUCUUAGGCAGAAGCAAGCAUAUGAGUUUGUGAGUCAAUUCUCAGUAACUAUUUGUCUUCUAAAUUUGUACAGAAUAUUAGGUCAAUAAUACCUAAUCCUAUUUGAGGCAUCACAUUUCAGCUUGGGACCACAGAGCUUCUCCUAUCAGCUAUGGCCACAUCAACCUGUCUUUGGCAACUGAGUGUUGCAACUUGGUCCUGCCAGUCUGCCACUAUCCCUGUUGGAUUUAAGGAGCCCAGUUUGAUGACAACAGUUCCCUCUGUCUUUCCUGGCCUGCAAAGAACAACCACCACAGAGCUUUGAGGAUGAUGAGAUUCCCCUCAUGAAUGACUCAUUGUUCAGGCCUCUGGGAGAACUUCCCUACUUCUCUUGCCCAAAGUCCUUGAAACAAAAAUGCUGUGAAGGUUGUGUGCUGUGGUGCUGUUCACACUGGAAAGGACACAGCUUCAUGGGGAGAAUAUGAGCAGAGGAAACAGUGAGAAGAAAGAUGAAUGAACUUGUCAAAUCCUUCCUAUCAGAGAGUGUGAAUGCAGGAGAUCCCAGCAGUGCCUAGUGCCAUUUUCUUGUUUCACUUUGUGUUCCAGCGUGUGGCUUUGGAGAUACUCAUGGGUUGGUGAAGUAUGCUCAGUGGUUGCAUGUGUUGACUGAGGAAUAUUUUGCAAUGGUAAACAUUUUGUUUUAUUCUUGAAUUUGUAUACCUUUAUGUUUAGAUGUAAUUAUGCAUUAAGUAUGAUUACCACAUUGACAACUAGAUGGCUGUUGAAGGUUAGCACUGGGAAUGGUUUUAUUUUUCUAAACUAUUUAGCAAUAUUAAUUAAAUUCAAAAAAUUAAACAAAUUUAUUGACUUUAAUUUCUAAAUAAAAAUUAAUUCCAGGGAAAAAGUUUGUGAUCUAAAAAAAGUAA